rnacentral:rRNA from 1 species
AGAGUUUGAUCCUGGCUCAGAAUCAACGCUGGCGGCGUGCCUCAGACAUGCAAGUCGAACGAUUAAACUUCCCUUCGGGGAAGAUAUAAAGUGGCGCACGGGUGAGUAACACGUAAGUAAUCUACCUUCGAGUGGGGAAUAACAGUCGGAAACGGCUGCCAAUACCGCAUAAUGCAGCGGCAUCGCAAGAUGACAGUUGUUAAAGAUUUAUUGCUUGAAGAGGAGCUUGCGGCAGAUUAGCUAGUUGGUAAGGUAAUGGCUUACCAAGGCUACGAUCUGUAUCCGGUCUAAGAGGACGGUCGGACACACUGACACUGAAUAACGGGUCAGACUCCUACGGGAGGCAGCAGUCGGGAAUUUUGGGCAAUGGGCGAAAGCCUGACCCAGCAACGCCGCGUGAAGGAUGAAAUCCCUCGGGAUGUAAACUUCGCAAGAACGGGAAGAAUAAGUAAGGGUUAAUAUCUCUUACGAUGACGGUACUGUUUGUAAGCUCCGGCUAACUCCGUGCUAGCCGCCGCGGUAAUUC